UACGUAGGGUGCAAGCGUUAAUCGGAAUUACUGGGCGUAAAGUGUGCGCAGGCGGCGUCGCAAGUCGAGUGUGAAAGCCCCGAGCUUAACUUGGGAAUUGCGCUCGAAACUACGGUGCUGGAGUAUGGCAGAGGAAGGUGGAAUUCCACGUGUAGCGGUGAAAUGCGUAGAGAUGCGGAGGAACACCGAUGGCGAAGGCAGCCCCCCUGGGCUAACACUGACGCUCAGGCACGAAAGCGUGGGGAGCAAACAGG
rnacentral:rRNA from 1 species